CUGAGUUGAAUCUUCUAUUAAGUAUCCUCUGAAAGCAUUCUGAUUUUUGAAAUCAGAGAGGAUGAAAUAUGAGCAGUGCCAAGUCCUGAGCUACCAUGCCAUGAAGAGAGAGCCUACACUUUGCCAGAGUCGACUUGGCUAUGCCAGUUCCUGAGAGCUGACUGUUGUGUGGCACUUCUCAGCCCCGUGGUCAGUGAGGUCUUUGUGGCAGCGUGGACUAGGCCACAGCAAGAGUAUUUACACCACAGAACUUGGCAAAGGCUGUAAAAUAGGGAUCCUCCACCCUCUGCAGACUGUUGGUUGUGAAACAUUUCCUAGCACACUACUUAAUACGAGGAAAGAAAAAUGAAGACAUGGUCUUAUGCUCAAAGUAGCAAAUAUGACUAGUAAAGCUUAAGACGAGAAUG